AGAACUUAGCAGAGAUGCUUUGGUGCCUUCGGGAACUCUGAGACAGGUGCUGCAUGGCUGUCGUCAGCUCGUGUUGUGAAAUGGUUGGGUUAAGUCCCGCAACGAGCGCAACCCUUAUCCUUUGUUGCCAGCGGUCCGGCCGGGAACUCAAAGGAGACUGCCAGUGAUAAACUGGAGGAAGGUGGGGAUGACGUCAAGUCAUCAUGGCCCUUACGAGUAGGGCUACACACGUGCUACAAUGGCGCAUACAAAGAGAAGCGACCUCGCGAGAGCAAGCGGACCUCAUAAAGUGCGUCGUAGUCCGGAUUGGAGUCUGCAACUCGACUCCAUGAAGUCGGAAUCGCUAGUAAUCGUAGAUCAGAAUGCUACGGUGAAUACGUUCCCGGGCCUUGUACACACCGCCCGUCACACCAUGGGAGUGGGUUGCAAAAGAAGUAGGUAGCUUAACCUUCGGGAGGGCGCUUACCACUUUGUGAUUCAUGACUGGGGUGAAGUCGUAACAAGGUAGGCGUAGCGAG
rnacentral:rRNA from 1 species